GAUGAACGCUGGCGGCGUGCCUAAUACAUGCAAGUCGAGCGAACAGACGAGGAACUUGCUCCUCUGACGUUAGCGGCGGACGGGUGAGUAACACGUGGAUAACCUACCUAUAAGACUGGGAUAACUUCGGGAAACCGGAGCUAAUACCGGAUAACAUGUUGAACCGCAUGGUUCAACAGUGAAAGACGGUCUUGCUGUCACUUAUAGAUGGAUCCGCGCCGCAUUAGCUAGUUGGUAAGGUAACGGCUUACCAAGGCAACGAUGCGUAGCCGACCUGAGAGGGUGAUCGGCCACACUGGAACUGAGACACGGUCCAGACUCCUACGGGAGGCAGCAGUAGGGAAUCUUCCGCAAUGGGCGAAAGCCUGACGGAGCAACGCCGCGUGAGUGAAGAAGGUCUUCGGAUCGUAAAACUCUGUUAUUAGGGAAGAACAAAUGUGUAAGUAACUAUGCACGUCUUGACGGUACCUAAUCAGAAAGCCACGGCUAACUACGUGCCAGCAGCCGCGGUAAUACGUAGGUGGCAAGCGUUAUCCGGAAUUAUUGGGCGUAAAGCGCGCGUAGGCGGUUUUUUAAGUCUGAUGUGAAAGCCCACGGCUCACCCGUGGAGGGUCAUAGGAAACUGGAAAACUUGAGUGCAGAAGAGGAAAGUGGAAUUCCAUGUGUAGCGGUGAAAUGCGCAGAGAUAUGGAGGAACACCAGUGGCGAAGGCGACUUUCUGGUCUGUAACUGACGCUGAUGUGCGAAAGCGUGGGGAUCAAACAGGAUUAGAUACCCUGGUAGUCCACGCCGUAAACGAUGAGUGCUAAGUGUUAGGGGGUUUCCGCCCCUUAGUGCUGCAGCUAACGCAUUAAGCACUCCGCCUGGGGAGUACGACCGCAAGGUUGAAACUCAAAGGAAUUGACGGGGACCCGCACAAGCGGUGGAGCAUGUGGUUUAAUUCGAAGCAACGCGAAGAACCUUACCAAAUCUUGACAUCCUCUGACCCCUCUAGAGAUAGAGUUUUCCCCUUCGGGGGACAGAGUGACAGGUGGUGCAUGGUUGUCGUCAGCUCGUGUCGUGAGAUGUUGGGUUAAGUCCCGCAACGAGCGCAACCCUUAAGCUUAGUUGCCAUCAUUAAGUUGGGCACUCUAAGUUGACUGCCGGUGACAAACCGGAGGAAGGUGGGGAUGACGUCAAAUCAUCAUGCCCCUUAUGAUUUGGGCUACACACGUGCUACAAUGGACAAUACAAAGGGUAGCGAAACCGCGAGGUCAAGCAAAUCCCAUAAAGUUGUUCUCAGUUCGGAUUGUAGUCUGCAACUCGACUACAUGAAGCUGGAAUCGCUAGUAAUCGUAGAUCAGCAUGCUACGGUGAAUACGUUCCCGGGUCU
rnacentral:rRNA from 1 species